rnacentral:hammerhead_ribozyme from 1 species
ACCUUCCUGACGAGUGCCAAAUAGCACGAAACCUAGGGUCCAGGGU